rnacentral:rRNA from 1 species
GGCGCUGGAGAACUGAGGGGGGCUGCUCCUAGUACGAGAGGACCGGAGUGGACGCAUCACUGGUGUUCGGGUUGUCAUGCCAAUGGCACUGCCCGGUAGCUAAAUGCGGAAGAGAUAAGUGCUGAAAGCAUCUAAGCACGAAACUUGCCCCGAGAUGAGUUCUCCCUGAGACUUAGAGUCUCCUGAAGGAACGUUGAAGACGACGACGUUGAUAGGCCGGGUGUGUAAGCGCAGCGAUGCGUUGAGCUAACCGGUACUAAUGAACCGUGAGGCUUAACCUUACAACGCCGAAGCUGUU